AGAGUUUGAUCAUGGCUCAGAGUGAACGCUGGCGGCAUGCUUUACACAUGCAAGUCGAACGGGCUUUGGCAGUUCAUCGCCGAAGUCAGUGGCAAACGGGUGAGUAACACGUGGAUAAUCUUCCUUCGAGCGGGGGAUAACCCCGGGAAACCGGGGCUAAUACCGCGUAAGACCACGUCUUCAUAAGAAGACGGGGCCAAAGCUCCGCAAGGGGCGCUUGAAGAGGGGUCCACGGCCUAUCAGCUAGUUGGUGAGGUCAUGGCUCACCAAGGCGACGACGGGUAGCCGGUCUGAAAGGACGAUCGGUCACAAUGGCACUGAGACACGGGCCAUACUCCUACGGGAGGCAGCAGUGGGGAAUCUUGCGCAAUGGGGGCAACCCUGACGCAGCAAUGCCGCGUGGAGGACGAAGGUCUUCGGAUUGUAAACUCCUUUUGCAGGGGAAAAAUGACUUGGUGAAAAGCCAAGUGUGAUGGUACUCUGCGAAUAAGCCACGGCUAACUUCGUGCCAGCAGCCGCGGUAAGACGAAGGUGGCAAGCGUUACUCGGAUUUACUAGGCGUAAAGCGUGGGCAGGCGGUUCGGUAAGUCUGUUGUGAAAGCUCCUGGCUUAACCGGGAGAGGUCAAUGGAUACUGCCGGGCUUGAAUGCGGGAGAGGUGACUGGAAUUCCUGGUGUAGCGGUGAAAUGCGUAGAUAUCAGGAGGAACACCUAUGGCGAAAGC
rnacentral:rRNA from 1 species